rnacentral:miRNA from 14 species
ACACACACACACACACACACACAUAUAUAUAUGUGUGUGUGUGUGUGUGUAAAACAAUCUUUAAAAA